rnacentral:ncRNA from 2 species
GGUUACGAGCGUCAGCGCCCAGCCCUGGCUUGCUGACCAGCAACCCUCCGUCGUGGUGGGGUGCUCCAGGUGACAACCCGACGGGAUUCGACCGCCCGUAACGACGACGC